rnacentral:rRNA from 1 species
AGUGAACGCUGGCGGUAGGCCUAACACAUGCAAGUCGAACGGCAGCACAGUAAGAGCUUGCUCUUAUGGGUGGCGAGUGGCGGACGGGUGAGGAAUACAUCGGAAUCUACCUUUUGGUGGGGGAUAACGUAGGGAAACUUACGCUAAUACCGCAUACGCCCUUCGGGGGAAAGCCGGGGACCUUCGGGCCUGGCGCUGAUAGAUGAGCCGAUGUCGGAUUAGCUUGUUGGUGAGGUAAUGGCUCACCAAGGCGACGAUCCGUAGCUGGUCUGGGAGGAUGAUCAGCCACACUGGAACUGAGACACGGUCCAGACUCCUACGGGAGGCAGCAGUGGGGAAUAUUGGACAAUGGGCGCAAGCCUGAUCCAGCCAUACCGCGUGGGUGAAGAAGGCCUUCGGGUUGUAAAGCCCUUUUGUUGGGAAAGAAAAGCAUCCGGUUAAUACCCGGGUGUUCUGACGGUACCCAAAGAAUAAGCACCGACUAACUUCGUGCCAGCAGCCGCGGUAA